UCCUGGAUAGCUCAGUUGGUAGAGCAAUCGGCUGUUAACCGAUCGGUCGUAGGUUCGAGUCCUACUCUAGGAGCCA
rnacentral:tRNA from 1 species